UACAGAGGUCUCAAGCGUUGUUCGGAUUCAUUGGGCGUAAAGGGCGCGUAGGCGGCGCGGUAAGUCGGGUGUGAAAUCUCGGGGCUUAACUCCGAAACUGCAUUCGAUACUGCUGUGCUUGAGGACUGGAGAGGAGACUGGAAUUUACGGUGUAGCGGUGAAAUGCGUAGAUAUCGUAAGGAAGACCAGUGGCGAAGGCGGGUCUCUGGACAGUUCCUGACGCUGAGGCACGAAGGUCAGGGGAGCAAACGGG
rnacentral:rRNA from 1 species